GACGAACGCUGGCGGCGUGCUUAACACAUGCAAGUCGAACGGUGAAGCGCCUUCCUUUUUGGUGGGUGUGGAUGAGUGGCGAACGGGUGAGUAACACGUGAGUAACCUGCCCCCUUCUUCUGGAUAACCGCAUGAAAGUGUGGCUAAUACGGGAUAUUCUGGGUCUGUCGCAUGAUGGGUCUGUGAAAGAUAUUGUUUCGGUGGGGGAUGGGCUCGCGGCCUAUCAGCUUGUUGGUGGGGUGAUGGCCUAGCAAGGCGGUGACGGGUAGCCGGCAUGAGAGGGUGGACGGUCACACUGGGACUGAGACACGGCCCAGACUCCUACGGGAGGCAGCAGUGGGGAAUAUUGCACAAUGGGCGCAAGCCUGAUGCAGCGACGCCGCGUGAGGGAUGGAGGCCUUCGGGUUGUGAACCUCUUUCGCCAGUGAAGCAGGCCUGCCUCGUUUGUGGGUGGGUUGACGGUAGCUGGAUAAGAAGCGCCGGCUAACUACGUG
rnacentral:rRNA from 1 species